UUAGAUAGAGGUGCGGUUUUUCAUUAGUAUCGUUUGACAAGGGUUCGCAGUCCUGUUUAAAGCAGCGAGAAAGGGUAAAGCCGCCGAAGGCGAUAACCUAACUGCGAAAGGUUCGCACUGGAUUAGUUGGAUAACAUCUGCUAGUCUGUCACCUUUACCGGUGGAGAGCUAUCG
rnacentral:ncRNA from 1 species